GGCUCUUUGGCGAUGUGUUCAGCGCGUGUGGCUCUUACCCAGGAGUCUAGAGUUCAAACCCUCGCCUGGGCCC